AAAGCCACUGACCAGGCUUAGACAUGGCUUCAACAAGCUAGAACUGUCUGGCUUGGGACUUACAGGCACUGCACAGCCAGAGUCCCCACAAUCCAGUUCUAGACAACAGUAUAUUAUUCAGAAACACUCAACAAAUGACCUUACAAGGCACAUGGUAAAGGGUUCUGCAAAUAAUCCUCCAGAACCUGUUGAAUCAGACUGAAGCUGCUUCUCGGUAUAUGGACUUUAUUUAAAAACAAGGGUUGCAGGCAGAAUAAGGAAGUGGUGGAAAAUAGGGGAAAUGGAAGUAAAGACAGGCACACAGGAAUUCAAAAGAAAAUACAAAAACAUUAACUGACUAGCCAGCACUGAGCUUUGCCUUAGAGUAGCUGGUCCUUGGCUGAGGGGGCAUUGACCCCUACAGCAUCUCCCUUUCUGGACACAAGUAGCAGCUGGUGACACGGUGCCUACUGUACUGAUGUGACAACAUGGAGGGAUUCUUGUCCCCUAUUUUAUAGUGAUACAAAGAGAGGGAAGGCUAUCCCACACUUCCAGAGAUUGACAGCUUGGGAUCCAAGGAGAAGAGUCAGUGUAUCUCUGAUGUAAUGCUGGCCAAUCCAGGGUAGAGGUUUUCCCUCCAAACUGGAGGUCCUUCCUCCUUAAUGGGCUGAAUUAGGAUGUCUAAGCUGAAUCCAGUUUGAACGGGUUAUCUACUGUGAAAAAGGCUUAGGCCUGUAGCUUGAUGGCCCUGCCCCCUCAAUAAUAAAAGUAAGCAACGGUUGGGCUAAGAUGGGGAUCUACAUUUCGUCACAGUGCCAUCUGCUGACAAUCCAUGGAACACCCAUGUCUUCAAUACUACUUUUAUUCUAACUUUAAGAUUCAACUUUUCCACAGACCAUCAGCAGAUAGUUCUAAGUACAUACAUGAUGUACUUUGACUACAUGUGGAUGACUCAUUACAUCUCCUGUUAUAAUUGUGCUGAAGUUGGAAUAAAUCACCUUCUGGAAAAGUCCUAAGUGUGAUGCUCAGAAGCAUCUGUCUUCAUGUGUAGGUCUUAUUUCGGUAAAGAAGACUGUUGUUUCUUUUGGUGGGAGCCUUUGCCACAUGGAAACCAGGAACCUGCCAUCAAACGCAGGCAUGCCAGCAUCUAUAGACUGGGGCCCUGGACCAACACUGGCAUUUAAAAGGAACAAGAUGUCUCUGCUGCCCUUUUAAAACCAUGCACUAGGAGGCAGUAGCUUGUCCCAAAUCUGGUUGGAGUGAUGGGACAGAGGAGGAACAUUCACCCCCACAGAGUCAAUGUCUGUGGAUUCAAUGUUAGGCAGCGUUCAACUACAAUCAUAUCUGCGCUGAUAAAGGCACAAAGGUUCCAUCCACCUGCCUCAGAAUCCAGUCCCUCCCAAGAACUUUGUACCUGCCCCAGUUCGAGGAUCACUGUUUUAAAAAUUUGUACCUGCAAAGAAACUUGCCAAGGCCAAGAAUGAGGCCUUGCUUCAUUGCCCGAAAUAAUCUUCGCAAAUAUAUUUGGUUGGAAGUGUGCAACACCACAGUUUGGGGGCCAAUCUAAAAAUGUGGAGAAAAGGAAAAGGAGAAAGAGAGAAAGAAAGAAAAAGACAUCAAAAAUCAAAUUCGAAAAGUAAGAUGAGUUCAGAAUCAGAAAUACAUGUUAAUACAGUGCUUGCAAUUGUGUCUGCUGUCUCCUUUCCUUUUUUGUUGUUGUUUUUUGUGGGGGAGGGGGGUGUUGUUUAUAUUUAUUAUUAUUCAGUUUAUAGUGUAACCAGCCUUGACGAUAUUUAAUGUGAGCCACCUUAGAGGAUGGGGGAAGGAGCGGCCAACCUUCCACCAAGGUGCAGUACAUUACUUCCCUCAUGAGGGCCCACAACACUCACAUGCCAAAGCCCACACAGAUUUGAAGCCAGCUCUGAUUAUUUAUGUGAGAUCAUCUAUGUGCAUAGCAUUUUACACAGAAUGAGAAGGCAGGUCCCUGCCCCGAGCGGCUCACACUAUAAGAAGUGGCUCCAAUGCUGCUGCAGCCAUUGCUAGAUGGAAUAUUCCAGAAUCAACACAACCAAGGCUUAUAGCCACAUGUGUGGUGCUACUCUGUUCGUGGAGUCUAAGGUUGCACUAGGAGGAACUGUCCUAAGUUAAUGAGAAGCAACCAAGCCCUCAAAACAAGUAGUUUAAUACAUGUAAAGACUGCUCAUUACAACUUGAUAAUAUUUUAACCACAUUAAAAAUCAAUACCUAGUAUUUGUCAUUCAUGCCAGUGUCUUUGCCCGUAGGUUGAAAGCAGAUUUACUUCUAACUAUGCAAUUGGUGGCUGUUCUGAUUUUGAAUGCAUCUUAUUACACACUAAAGUUUCAGAAGCAGCUUAUUUUAAAUGCUUAUAUUUUCUCCCAAAGAUGCAUUUUGAAAUCUUUCUGAUGUCUAAAAAAAAAAAAAACCUGAAUAAAAGUCA